rnacentral:rRNA from 1 species
UUUAAAAAAUUUGGCGGUAUUUUAGUCUUAUUAGAGGAAUCUGUUUAUUAAUUGAUAAUCCACGAUUAAUUUUACUUAUUUUAUUUAAUUCAUAUAUCGCUGUCAUGAAUAUAUUUAAAAAUUUAUUUUCUUUAAUUAUUUUAAUAAUUUAUGUUAAGUCAAGAUGUGGUUUAUAAAUAAGAAUAUAAUGGGUUACAUUAAAUUUUAUUUUUGGAUUUAAAAUGAAAAUUAAAAUGAAAUUGGAUUUAAUAGUAAGUUUAAUUAAUUUAUUAGUAUGAAUAAAGAUCUAAAUU